rnacentral:rRNA from 1 species
AGCGAACGCUGGCGGCAGGCCUAACACAUGCAAGUCGAACGAAGUCUUCGGACUUAGUGGCGGACGGGUGAGUAACACGUGGGAACGUGCCUUUAGGUUCGGAAUAACUCAGGGAAACUUGUGCUAAUACCGAAUGUGCCCUUCGGGGGAAAGAUUUAUCGCCUUUAGAGCGGCCCGCGUCUGAUUAGCUAGUUGGUGAGGUAAAGGCUCACCAAGGCGACGAUCAGCAGCUGGUCUGAGAGGAUGACCAGCCACAUUGGGACUGAGACACGGCCCAAACUCCUACGGGAGGCAGCAGUGGGGAAUCUUGCGCAAUGGGCGAAAGCCUGACGCAGCCAUGCCGCGUGGAUGAUGAAGGUCUUAGGAUUGUAAAAUCCUUUCACCGGUGAAGAUAAUGACUGUAGCCGGAGAAGAAGCCCCGGCUAACUUCGUGCCAGCCGCCGCGGUAAAAC